GGCAAUUGAUAGGAACUACGUCCCUGGGAAGGCCAGCUUGGAGCUCCCCCUUUGGUUUGAUUGCUGAGGUCCUGGGUCUAAGCAAUGGAGUGUUUUCUGGAAUGUUUGACCUUCCUUGCUGCAACGUCACCACAGGAUUCACAGUGGAAGCAGGAAAGGUCACAAAAGCUGGAGAGUGAAGAUCUGUCCAUUGGAAGAACAGAUGUUUGACCUAGAAAGUUUGUCCAUUCCUGUGUUACCAUUUCAGCCAGUCAUCUGUCAUCUGUUUUAUUCUCUGUACCUUUCUAUACAUAACAAUUUACCAUAGGAAAUCCAUUGUGUUAUGUUUUUUUCUACAAAUUACCAUUCAUUGUUUUGGAAAUGCUUUACUUACUAGAUUUAUUAAAUGUGAUACAGUAUAUACAAUAUGCCAUAGUAUGACUAUAAGUUUAUUUCUCUGUUCUCUUAUUGAUAAAUUACUGAAUUGAAUAAUUUUAUUAUUUUACAAACAAUAGUGGUAGGACGAUUCUUGAUUUUAGCUCAGUUGUUUUCUGAUCACAUGACUCCAUUGAAAAAUAACUUUUCAAAAAUCAAGAAUUAAAAAGGUAAAUUUGACAUUUAUUUUGCAAGCUAUAUUGAUAUCUACCCUAGUAAGAGAAAAUUGAGUUCUCAUAUCUGUUUCUGCUUUUAAUCUUUUAUCUAUUUUCAUUGAAAUAUAUUACAUAU
rnacentral:lncRNA from 1 species